UCCUACGGGGGGCAGCAGUGGGGAAUAUUGCACAAUGGGGGGAACCCUGAUGCAGCAACGCCGCGUGAGUGAAGAAGUAUUUCGGUAUGUAAAGCUUUGUCAGCAGGGAAGAAAGAAAUGACGGUACCUGACCAAGAAGCCCCGGCUAACUACGUGCCAGCAGCCGCGGUAAUACGUAGGGGGCAAGCGUUAUCCGGAAUUACUGGGUGUAAAGGGAGCGUAGACGGUUAAGUAAGUCUGGAGUGAAAGGCCGGGGCCCA
rnacentral:rRNA from 1 species